AUCAACACAGGUAAAAACCUUUGUCCAUGGUUUUCUGAUCCUACAUUCCAUGACCAAAAUUUCAAACCCACUUCUUCACAGUUUGGGUCACGGGCAAUAAAAUCUCAGCAACCCCAUACAACAAUUUACAGAAUACAUACCAUUUAAAGCACAUACAACAUGUGACGUACUGGAAUACUACAAGUUAGCUUACAGCACAAAAUGAAGCAUGUGUU